rnacentral:sRNA from 1 species
UGUCUACAAUUCACAACUUUAAUUACAAAAGAACUAAUAACAAAAUCUCUCAUUUUUUCUUCUUUCAUGUGACCGCGUCCAUAGUCCAACUGGAAUUUACCCUGGAGCUAUACCUCCUUACUUAUAUCGAUCGUUCUUAUACCAUUAUUUCUGCGGAUAUAGAAAAA